AAGAUGCAAAUAUGAUAUUUAUGAAAAUUUUACGUAUAAAAUGUUAAAAAAAUAUAAAAGAAGAACUUCUUCAACGUUUUUAUUUUAAAUUAUGUUGAUUUUUAGCAAUUAUUACGAAUUAAAAUUACGUUAAACGAAACGCAUUUCAAAACACCAAUCAGCGUUCAGUGACGUCACUCGUGCUGUGUCAACUUUUAGAAGUUAACUUUGCGAUUAAUAGGCAGUAGUGCUUUAUUUACGUAUUAUUUACGUUUUUAAUAAAAAUGGAAGUUAGAUUUAAUAAAACAGACUCCAAAAAUUUACCAAAAAAAAAUUUUUUGUCGUGAGUGCAGAGUUUUCAAGUGUAGAAAUGAAAGGCACUAAAUUAGUACGCUCAACGAGAGAAUCUUACGGCGAUAACGCAAUCGGUUAUGUGCAAAUUAAAAGAGAUGGAGAUGGAUUAAUUAUGUACAGUGAAAAGUCGAGUUACUCCAGAGCACAAAGUACGAAAAGAAGGUUAUCGUGUUACAGCUGUAAUAAAUGAAGCACAAAGCUUAGUUCUGUCCUGCCAAUGCGAAGAUUGUGCAGCUUCUGCAGGUGGGUGCAAGCAUGCUGCUGCACUAUUGCUAUGGUGCACAGAAGGUCUGAGCAGCCUCCAAUUACGUCCGUCACAUGCUAUUGGAAGAAGUCGAAAUUAUCUACAUGUGCUUCUGGAAAAUCUGUCAUAAAAGCCAAAGAAAUGGGUCAAGUUUCAGUCAAUCACAGUUUCUCUCAAGUAAGCAGCUUUUUUAUUUAAAGAGAUUGAAAAGAAGUUAAAUGUGUGUUACAAUAAUAACUGCAUAUUUUUAGGUGGAUAUUUUAUAAGAAUUUGUAGAUGCUGUCAAUAAAAAAGAUUGUCGGGGAAGUAUUCUUCGCUACUUUCAAUAAGACAAGCAUUCAUAAGGUGUGUUCAAGCUUGAUUGGAAAGUUGGACUCUCCAGAAUCAUUUCUUGAAGCAUUAUCAAAGCAAAUGACCACUGAUAAUAUAAAUAUGGUAUUUUCCACCACCAAACAUCAAAGUGAU